AAGAGCAAGUUGAAAUUAAAAGGUUACGCACAGAAAAUAGACUUUUAAAACAGCGCAUCGAGACAUUAGAAAAAGAAAGUGCUUCCUUGGCAGAUAGAUUGAUACAGCAUAAAUGCAGUUCCAACUACAACGAAGAUUUUGUGCUACAGCUAGAGAAGGAAUUGGUCCAAGCCCGACUGAGUGAAGCUGAGUCUCAGUGUGCAUUAAAAGAGAUGCAGGAUAAAGUCUUGGAUAUAGAGAAGAGGAAUAACUCCCUUCCUGAUGAGAAUAAUAUUGCAAGGCUUCAGGAAGAACUCAUUGCUGUGAAACUUAGAGAAGCAGAAGCCAUUAUGGGUUUGAAAGAACUUAGACAGCAAGUCAAGGAUUUAGAGGAACACUGGCAGCGCCACUUAGCUCGUACUACUGGGAGAUGGAAAGACCCACCCAAGAAAAAUGCUAUGAAUGAGUUACAAGAUGAACUGAUGACCAUUCGACUUAGAGAAGCUGAAACACAAGCAGAAAUAAGAGAAAUAAAACAAAGGAUGAUGGAAAUGGAAACACAGAACCAGAUCAAUAGUAACCAUCUUCGAAGAGCAGAACAAGAGGUGAUUAGCCUACAGGAGAAAGUGCAGUAUCUUUCUGCACAGAACAAAGGACUCCUUACUCAAUUAAGUG
rnacentral:sRNA from 1 species